CUGAUGGGAGCUUGCUCCCUGAUGUCAGCGGCGGACGGGUGAGUAACACGUGGGCAACCUGCCUGUAAGACUGGGAUAACUCCGGGAAACCGGGGCUAAUACCGGAUAACCCGUUCCACCUCAUGGUGGAGCGGUAAAAGAUGGCCUCUGGCUAUCACUUACAGAUGGGCCCGCGGCGCAUUAGCUAGUUGGUAAGGUAACGGCUUACCAAGGCGACGAUGCGUAGCCGACCUGAGAGGGUGAUCGGCCACACUGGGACUGAGACACGGCCCAGACUCCUACGGGAGGCAGCAGUAGGGAAUCUUCCGCAAUGGACGAAAGUCUGACGGAGCAACGCCGCGUGAGUGAUGAAGGUUUUCGGAUCGUAAAGCUCUGUUGUUAGGGAAGAACAAGUGCCGUUUGAAUAAGGCGGCACCUUGACGGUACCUAACCAGAAAGCCACGGCUAACUACGUGCCAGCAGCCGCGGUAAUACGUAGGUGGCAAGCGUUGUCCGGAAUUAUUGGGCGUAAAGCGCGCGCAGGCGGUCUCUUAAGUCUGAUGUGAAAGCCCACGGCUCAACCGUGGAGGGUCAUUGGAAACUGGGAGACUUGAGUACAGAAGAGGAGAGUGGAAUUCCACGUGUAGCGGUGAAAUGCGUAGAUAUGUGGAGGAACACCAGUGGCGAAGGCGACUCUCUGGUCUGUAACUGACGCUGAGGCGCGAAAGCGUGGGGAGCAAACAGGAUUAGAUACCCUGGUAGUCCACGCCGUAAACGAUGAGUGCUAGGUGUUAGGGGUUUCGAUGCCCUUAGUGCCGAAGUUAACACAUUAAGCACUCCGCCUGGGGAGUACGACCGCAAGGUUGAAACUCAAAGGAAUUGACGGGGGCCCGCACAAGCAGUGGAGCAUGUGGUUUAAUUCGAAGCAACGCGAAGAACCUUACCAGGUCUUGACAUCCUUUGACCACUCUAGAGAUAGAGCUUUCCCCUUCGGGGGACAAAGUGACAGGUGGUGCAUGGUUGUCGUCAGCUCGUGUCGUGAGAUGUUGGGUUAAGUCCCGCAACGAGCGCAACCCUUGAUCUUAGUUGCCAGCAUUCAGUUGGGCACUCUAAGGUGACUGCCGGUGACAAACCGG
rnacentral:rRNA from 1 species